rnacentral:miRNA from 1 species
CCAGGUGUGGUGGUGGUGCCUGUGGUCCCAGCUACUCGGGAGGCUGAG